AAUUAUUAGGUUGGUGCAAAAGUAAUUGUGGCUUUUGCUAUUGAAAGUAGUGGCAAAAACAGCAAUUACGUUUGCACCAACCUAACAGCUACCUAAG
rnacentral:miRNA from 1 species